rnacentral:rRNA from 1 species
AUUGAACGCUGGCGGCAUGCUUUACACAUGCAAGUCGAACGGCACCGGGGUAGCGCUUGCACUACUGCCGGCGAGCGGCGAACGGGCGAGUAAUAUAUUCGAACUUACCGCGCAAUGGGGGAUAACCAACCGAAAGAUUUGCUAAUACCGCAUACUUCUCGACGGAGAAAGCGGCCGCUCGCAAUACCCUGCGUUAUUCGAUCGGACGAUAACUUAUUAGCUAGUCGGGGCGGUAAAGGCCUACUAAUGCGACUAGCAGUAGCGGGUCUGAGAGGCAGAUUCGCCAGCCUGGCUGUGAGAAACGGCCCAGACCCCUGCGGUGGGCAGCAGUGGGGAAUUUUGGAGGAUGGGGGAAAGGCUGAUCCAGCAAUGCCGCGUGAAUGAAGAAGGACUAAGGGUGGUAAAGUGCUUUUGUUAGGAAAGAAAAAAGAAGUGCUAAUACCGCAUGAUGAUGACGGUACCUAAAGAAUAAGCACCGGCUAACUACGUG